GCCGGCGUGGUGAAAUGGCAGACGCGCUGGACUCAAAAUCCAGUAUAGGCAACUAUGUGUGGGUUCAAGUCCCACCGCCGGUACCA
rnacentral:tRNA from 3 species